rnacentral:miRNA from 1 species
CAGCUCCUGCAGCAUCUGUUC